UGGACGAUGAUCAGUCUUGUUUAAUGUGUGUUAGCCUUGACAUACAUGCACCAUCCUCAUUAUUUCUAGAACACCUAUUGUCAAUUUGAAGUCUACCUGUAAAAGAUUACAGACCUCUACAUGCUUUUGAACUGUCAUGGCGUCAUCAGAUUUUGUCAGAGACAUAUUGACAAAGUGGGACCUCAGUCAAUGGAUUAAUUUUGAAGAGCAAGAAAUAGACGAAGAAGGUUUUCUCUUACUCGAAGAGAAAGAAUUCAUUAACUUGAUCCCAAAAAUAGGACCACGGACAAAAUUUGCUCACAAACACAAACUUCUAAAGGAACAGAACAAACACAGCAAUGUUGAUGAGAACUUUGAAGUGGCCACGUCAUCAACAGCUUCCAUUAACGCAGCCAAGAGUUCCUCAGGAAAUGUACUUUUUACCUAUAACUAUAUACAUAAAUCCUCACCCCUAAAGGACAUAUUUUAUAUUACAA
ensembl:lncRNA